rnacentral:lncRNA from 1 species
CUCUGACCAAAGCAAGGACUUCAUCUACCGUGAGGGCGCGGGGCAAAGAGCCUCCAUUCAACCGCUGCCAGUGACGACUGAGUCCCCCUUCCACGCAACGGCCGGCAGGACCAGUGAGACUGAGGGGGAGGAGCGCCGUGGCGAGAGACUGGCGUUUAUAAUCAAACCUGUGGUCCCGCGAUCCUACUUGAGGGAAAACAGGCUAUCUCUUUAGCCCCGCCCCGCGCUUUGCAUUCUGGGAAGCGGAGUUCCAGCCUUUCUCUUUCCGCGGGAGGGAAUGAAAGGGAGGAGAAAGAGAUGGAAAACAGCACAAAAUUAGAUGAAAUAAUAGUUUCAGACUUUGGAGAAUAGGCAGAGAAACACUAUGAUCCCUGAGAAAAAAGAGAUAAACCACGUAAAGUCUAUAGUCAUCCUGUAUUUUUAUUGAGAGACACACAUGCAAGACCACAGUGUAGACGAAAGUCCCAAGGAGAGUAUAUGGCCUUGCCUUGUAUAGAAGACACAUACCAGAGUUCAGGCGUUUUGGAAGGAGGCUGAAGUUGCAGCAAAGGGCUCUGAAGAGGUGGUGGAUGUGCCCAAGACACAGGGAAGAAAAAGAAGUAAACAGGGAAGUACAACACAGACUCUGAAAUGGGGCAUCAUGGAAGACGGAGCUUUGUCGUCUUGGUCUUUGCUGUAUAUUCACUUCCUACAACAGUGCUAAAUACCUUGUGGAUGCUUAAAUAUAUUAAAUGAAUGCAUAAAUGAAAAGAGUAAAUAAAGAGUGUAUAUGAAAGUAUGUAGAUAAAAUUCUUCACUAAGCCUUGGGGAUCCAGCUGCUUAAGGACUAAGACCGUAUCUAGCUCCUUUUAGUAUUUCCACAGCAUGCCAUGGAGAUACAUGUUUCUGAUUAUAUAUGAUACAUGGAAAUUAUAUGUUGUUGAAUGAGUGAUUGAGUAAAUGUGUACUAGGGCAGCUAAUCAUAAAUAUUUCUACUAUUGCUAAAAUGACUGGAUUUAUCCAUUCCUUCUGAGAGUUUAUACUGAUUGCUUAUAUUGUAUCAAAUACCGUAACUGAGGGCAAUGUUUACUCAAACUAAUAGCACCAUUCAAAUUUAUGCAAACAAUAACACUAUAUCUUUAAAAUGUUUUCACUAAAAGCUGCAUAAAGAGUGUAUUCAACAACAAUAGAAUAAUUUUACAAUCUUUUUUCUUGCUUAAUGGCCAUUUGUGCCUUCUGACAUGCUGCUAGCCAUUCAAAGGUCACACUACCUUGAAGUUGAAGAUCAAGACA